rnacentral:rRNA from 1 species
AUCCUGCCGGACCUCACUGCUAUCGGGGUGAGACUAAGCCAUGCAAGUCUAGGCCCAUAGCCAUCUGUGGGCCUGGCGUACGGCUCAGUAACACGUGGCCAACCUACCCCGAGGAGGCGGUUGAUCCUGCCGGACCUCACUGCUAUCGGGGUGAGACUAAGCCAUGCAAGUCUAGGCCCAUAGCCAUCUGUGGGCCUGGCGUACGGCUCAGUAACACGUGGCCAACCUACCCCGAGGAGGCGGAUAACCCCGGGAAACUGGGGUAUAAACCGCCAUAGGUGAGGGGUUCUGGAACGACCCUUCGCUGAAAGACGUGCGCGGGGAUGCCUGUGCACGUGCCUCGGGAUGGGGCUGCGGCCCAUCAGGUAGUUGGUGGGGUAACGGCCCACCAAGCCUAUAACGGGUACGGGCCCUGABAGGGGGAGCCCGGAGAUGGACUCUGAGACAAGAGUCCAGGCCCUACGGGGCGCAGCAGGCGCGAAAACUCCGCAAUGCGCUCACGCGUGACGGGGUUACCCCGAGUGCCACCCUCGUGGUGGCUUUUGCGCGGUCUAAAAAGCCGCGCGAAUAAGCGGGGGGCAAGACGGGUGUCAGCCGCCGCGGUAAUACCCGCUCCGCGAGUGGUGAGGACUAUUACUGGGCUUAAAGCGUCCGUAGCCGGCCCGGCGUGCUCCGCGUUAAAUCCAGCAGCCUAACUGCUGGGCUGCGCGGAUGACUGCCGGGCUUGGGGGUGGGAGAGGGCGGCGGUAUUCCCGGGGUAGGGGUAAAAUCCACUGAUCCCGGGAGGACCACCAGUGGCGAAGGCGGCCGCCCAGAACACGCCCGACGGUGAGGGACGAAAGCUGGGGGAGCGAUCGGGAUUAGAUACCCCGGUAGUCCCAGCCGUAAACGAUGCGGGCUUGGUGUCGGGCUGGCCACGAGCCAGCCCGGUGCAGAAGGGAAACCAUUAAGCCCGCCGCCUGGGGAGUACGGCCGCAAGGCUGAAACUUAAAGGAAUUGGCGGGGGAGCACCACAAGGGGUGGACGUUGCGGCUUAAUUGGAGUCAACGCCGGAAAGAGAGGWCCAGUUGUAAUUCUGGAUAACCUCUCCCGGAGACCUUACCGGGGGCGACAGCAGGAUGAUGGCCAGGUUAAAGGCCUUGCCUGACGAGCUGAGAGGAGGUGCAUGGCCGUCGCCAGUGCGUGCCGUGAGGUGUCCUGUUAAUUCAGGCAACGGACGAGACCCGCGCCCCCAGUUGCGACCGGGCCGGAAGGCGCCGAGCACUCUGGGGGGACUGCCCCGGAAACGGGGAGGAAGGAGCGGGCCACGGCAGGUCAGUAUGCCCCGAAUCCCCCGGGCCGCACGCGACGUUCAAUGGUGGGGACAGUGGGCUGCGACCCCGAAAGGGGAAGCCAAUCCCUAAACCCCACCUCAGUAGGGAUCGAGGGUUGCAACUCGCCCUCGUGAACGCGGAAUCCCUAGUAACCGCCCGUUACCACCGGGCGGUGAAUACGUCCCCGCUCCUUGCACWCACCGCCCGUCAAGGG